rnacentral:rRNA from 1 species
CAAACCAAAGCUGGCGACCGGCGCACGGGUGAGUAACACGUAUCCAACCUGCCUCAUACUCGGGGAUAGCCUUUCGAAAGAAAGAUUAAUAUCCGAUAGCAUAUAUUUCCCGCAUGGGUUUUAUAUUAAAGAAAUUCGGUAUGAGAUGGGGAUGCGUUCCAUUAGUUUGUUGGGGGGUAACGGCCCACCAAGACUACGAUGGAUAAGGGUUCUGAGAGGAAGGUCCCCCACAUUGGAACUGAGACACGGUCCAA